rnacentral:rRNA from 1 species
UACAGAGGUCCCAAGCGUUGUUCGGAUUCACUGGGCGUAAAGGGUGCGUAGGUGGUUGGGUAAGUCUGACGUGAAAUCUCCGGGCUCAACCCGGAAAUGGCAUUGGAUACUAUUCGGCUAGAGGUUUGGAGGGGGGACUGGAAUUCUCGGUGUAGCAGUGAAAUGCGUAGAUAUCGAGAGGAACACCAGUGGCGAAGGCGAGUCCCUGGACAACACCUGACACUGAGGCACGAAAGCUAGGGGAGCAAACAGG